CUCAACUUUUUGAAACUGACUUUGAAAUUUCACUAGGAUGGAACUGAGCUGCAAUUCAAAUCAGUAACAGUGGGAAAAUACCUUUGCGCCGAACAGGGUGGAGGAACAAUCAUAGUUGCCAACAGGACCUCUGCUUCAGGCUGGGAAACAUUCAAAUUGUGGAGGAUCAAUGAGACGACCUUUCAGUUUAGAGUGUUGAACAAACAGUUUAUGGGACUAAAUUACACAACUGGAAAUGGGAUUGAUGUGGUUGCCAUCGCGAACACGUCAUCAGAAACGUUUCAGAUUGUUAGAAAUUCUGAUGACUUGAGCCGGGUUCGGAUUAAGGCACCCAAUGGGUUCUUCUUACAGG